UCCCAAGUCAGAAGCACAAUGUCGAGA
rnacentral:piRNA from 1 species